UACGUAGGGACCAAGCGUUGUUCGGAUUUACUGGGCGUAAAAGGCGCGUAGGCGGCGCGGUAAGUCACUUGUGAAAUCUCUGAGCUUAACUCAGAACGGCCAAGUGAUACUGCAGUGCUAGAGUGUGGAAGGGGCAAUCGGAAUUCUUGGUGUAGCGGUGAAAUGCGUAGAUAUCAGGAGGAACACCGGUGGCGAAGGCGGUUCUCGUGGGCAUUACCUGACGUGAGGAGCGAAAGUGUGGGGAGCGAACAGG
rnacentral:rRNA from 1 species